AACGAACGCUGGCGGCGUGUUUAAGACAUGCAAGUCGAACGGGGAGAAUGAGUAGCAAUACGAGUUCUUCUAGUGGCGCACGGGUGAGUAACACGCGAAUUACAUGCCCUUCAGUGAGGAAUAGCCCAGGGAAACUUGGAUUAAUACCUCAUGGUCUCGCAAGAGUAAAGGCGGCGCAAGCUGCCGCUGAAGGAUUGGUUCGCGCCCUAUCAGCUAGUUGGUGAGGGAACGGGUCACCAAGGCGACGACGGGUAGCCGGUCUGAGAGGACGAUAGGCAGCACUGGAAACUAGACACGGUACAGAGACCUAGGGGGGGCGGCAGUCUAGAAUAGUUGACAAUGGGCGAAACCCUGAUGGUGCACCACCGCGUGGAGGAGGAAGGUCUUCGGAUUGUAAACUCCUGUCGUCCGGGAGUAAGACCUGGCGGUGAAUAGCCGACAGGGAUGAUAGUACCGGAAGAGGAAGGGACGGCUAACUUCGUGCCAGCCGCCGCAGUAAUAC
rnacentral:rRNA from 1 species